rnacentral:sRNA from 1 species
UCUCCCAAAAGAGGCUAAAACCAACAAAAAAUAACUUAGAAGCAGUAUACAGUUUUGUAAGUGUUUUUAUGGUCAAAAUGUGUCAGAAUCCAAUGCAUUUGACUAAUUAUAAGAGUUAGAAAUGGAUUAGGAGUGUUUAGAUAACACUUAUACCUAUUUUGUCCCAAAAGAGGCUAAAACCAACAAAAUAUUGCUUAAAAGCAGUAAAUAGCUUUGUUUGUGUUUCUAUGGUCAAAAUGUGUCAAAAUCCAAAGCAUUUGACUAAUUAUAAGAGUUUUAGAUGGAUUAGGAGUGUUUAGAUAACACUUAUACCUAUUUUCUCCUAAAAGAGGCUAAAACCAAUAAAAAAUUGCUUAGAAGCAGUUAACAGUUUUGUUAGUGUUUUUAUGGUCACAAUGUGUCACAAUCCAAUGCAUUUGACUUUUUAUAAGAGUUAGAGAUGGAUUAGGAGUGUUUAGACAAUACUUAUACCCAUUUUCUCCCAAAAGAGGCUAAAACCAACAAAAAAUUGCUUAGAAGUAGUAAAUAGCUUUGUUAGUGUUUCUAUGGUCAAAAUGUGUCACAAUCCAAUGCAUUUGACUAAUUAUAAGAGAUAAAGAUAGAUUAGGAGUGUUUAGACAACACUUAUACCCAUUUUCUCCCAAAACAGGCUAAAACCAACAAAACAUUGCUUGAAGCAGUAAAUAGCUUUGUUAGUGUUUCUAUGGUCAAAAGGUGUCACAAUCCAAAGCCUUUGACUAAAUAUAAGAGUUAGAGAUGGAUUAAGAGUGUUUAGACAAUACUUAUACCCAUUUUUUCCUAAAAGAGACUAAAACCAACAAAAAUUUGUUUAAAAGCAGUAAAUAGCUUUGUUAGUGUUUCAAUGGUCAAAAUGUUUCACAAUCCUAAGCAUUUGACUAAUUAUAAGAGUUAUAGAUGGAUUAGGAGUGUUUAGACAUCACUUAUACCUAUUUUCUCCUAAGAGAGGCUAAAACCAAUAAAAAAUUGCUUAGAAGCAGUAAAUAGCUUUGUUAGUGUUUCCAUGGUCAAAAUGUAUCACAAUCCAAUGCAUUUGACUAAUUAUAAGAGUUAAAGAUAGAUUAGGAGUGUUUAGACAACACUUAUACCCAUUUUCUCCCAAAAGAGGCUAAAACCAACAAAAAAUUGCUUAGAAGCAGUAAAUAGCUUUGUUAGUGUUUCUAUGGUCAAAAUGUGUCACAAUCCAAUGCCUUUGACUAAUUAUAAGAGUUAAAGAUGGAUUAGGAGUGUUUAGACAACACUUAUACCCAUUUUCUCCCAAAAGAGGCUAAAACCAACAAAAAAUUGCUUAAAAGCAGUAAAUAGCUUUGUUAGGGUUUUAAUGGGCAAAAAGUGUCACAAUCCAAGGGCUUUGGC